UGGGGAAUCUUGCACAAUGGGGGCAACCCUGAUGCAGCGACGCCGCGUGAGCGAUGAAGCCCUUCGGGGCGUAAAGCUCUUUCGACCGGAACGAUAAUGACGGUACCGGGAGAAGAAGCUGCGGCUAACUACGUGCCAGCAGCCGCGGUAAUACGUAGGGUGCGAGCGUUAAUCGGAAUUACUGGGCGUAAAGCGUGCGCAGGCGGUCUUGCAAGACAGUGGUGAAAUCCCCGGGCUCAACCUGGGAACUGCCAUUGUGACUGCAAGGCUGGAGUACGGCAGAGGGGGAUGGAAUUCCGCGUGUAGCAGUGAAAUGCGUAGAUAUGCGGAGGAACACCGAUGGCGAAGGCAGUCCCCUGGGCCUGUACUGACGCUCAUGCACGAAAGCGUGGGGAGCAAACA
rnacentral:rRNA from 1 species